GUGUCCUGCUCCUUGUCCGGGGCACCGGGGUCCUCUCGCCUCUCUCCGACAGCUCACUCGUCUGGCGGGAUGGGCCGGCGGCUCGGCCGCCCGGGAGCGAUGGCACGGGCAAGUUUGCCGUUCCUCCUGCUCCUUGCUGCGCUCUGCAGCCGGGGUCAGCAGCCACAGCCGCCACCGUCGCAAAGAGUGAAGGGAUGCGAUCGUCUUAAGUGAGAAAGUGGGUGUCCUGGGCUUUCAUAUGCUGCGCUGUUGCUGCACUCUUAUAACGGAGUUCUGGUGAUUCAGAGAGGAACUCUAGCACAUCUAAUUUCAUGUUAAUAAUGUGAUGAUGGGACAUAAUCACAGAUGAGUUCAAGCGCUGGCCUGCCAAAUUUUAAAGACGUUUACUGUCUUCUGAAUUCCUCUCUGAGAUCUGUCACAGCUGCUAGGCGGUGCUAGCACUGUGUAGAACUCACUGCGUUGCCCAGGCAAAAAGGUACUAAAUUCCUUUGCAGUGCAAAAGUUUGAAAAGCGUGACUUCAACAAGUCCUGGAGGAGAUACACAAUGUACAGAAGUAUUACAAGACCCUUGAUUUAUACCUUUAGACUUAACAACUUUUGUUUUUCCAGCUACAGUUAUUUGGCAAUACCUGUAACGCUGGAUGGUGUUACUCUAAUUGUUAGCACCAGUCAGAUGUCUGUGGAGAAGAUUAUGUAACAGAGCUGCAAUGCUUUGAAAAACAGAAUUUGAGACAUCACAAUGAAUUCCCAUGUUGUUUCUUAGAACAGAACAGUUCAAGAACAUUUUGCACCUCAAACAUGAGAACAAUCUGUAAUUCUGUGGGUUGUUUUUCUUUUUUUUUUCUUCCGUUUUUAAGUCAGUAGAAGAUUUAUUGUGGUCAGAAACCUGGAGUUAAUUUUAAGUUUUUGUUUCUGCUACACGUGUUCUACUCCUCAUAUGAACACUAAGUAUUCAUGUAGAAUUUCUCAUCAAAAAGUAGUAUGGGACCCAGAAAGACAUGCACAUCCUCUAACAGUAUUUCUUAAAGAUACACCUAACUUAUGGCUCAGGCAAUCUUACUGAAGCACUAUAUAACGUUACUUUUAAAAGUUAACCCCUGGUGCAUGCUCUUUUCCAUGAGAUGGGUGAGAGACAAAGUAGUAACAGUUUAGAAAGGAAUAACCGAUAUUAGGGAUGGGGACAAGAAACUGAUAUACUGUGCUGUAACCUGAUCUGUGAUGUCAGCUGCUGAGAGCAACGGAGAUAACUCAGGAAGUGCAGGUGUUCCUUCACAUCACAAAAAUCCCAAGUGUAAGUUGACUCUUAACAGGUGAUGUAGAUUGGGUGCUCAUGAAGUCAAAGGGAAAUGAGGGGUGAACAUCAAUAAUAUAGAAUAAUAACAUAAAAUUAGCAGAAUGUCACAGUGGCUGGUUGGUCAAUAUUUUUUUAGUUUGUCUAUGGACGUAGGUUAUUAAAGUGAGUUUUCAGGAUUUAGUUUAAAACUGCAAUAUAGUAUGUUAUAUCUAUGCCCUUUUACAUUCAUUCAUUCUAUAUGCUACUAAGUAGCUUUGCAGGUAAAAAUAUGUUGUGGUUAUUUGUAACAUUUUACUUUUAAGUUUUUGUGCAUCCUGAUUCCAUCUAAUUUAAUAAUUGCUUGAGAAAGUGAAAGCAGAGUAUUUAGAUGAGUUUUAGGUUUAAAAUGUGAGAAAGGAAAACACAACAUUGACAAUUCUGGAUAAGGUGUUGGAAAUAGGUAGAAUUGUCCAGUCUGACUAGAGCCGUAAAUCUGUGUUUUGUGUACACGCUUUGACUUGAAUAAAUCACAGCAAAACUGGGAGAAGUGGAUCUUGUUGCUUAGAGAAAGUCAUGCAUUCUUGUACAAGUAAAAAUGUAAGAUGUAUUUUAAUAUAAAAAUCUUUGGUAUUCAUUUUUCAUCUUACAAAUUAUUUAUUUAUUUAUUAGGAGUCUUUCUUACUAAACUUGGAAUACUAAAAUCAGAAUGGUGAAUCUUUAACCUGCUUCAUAAAUCCCCUUUAAAAUUAUACAGCAAGCAAUCACUUUUAAUUAGUUCAGGCUGGAGGAAGGAAUCCACCCACAUAUGUUCUGAUUUCUUAUCCAACUACUUGGACUGACAGUUUUUGGGAUUACCACAUUUUGGAAUAAAAGGCAGCAAUGAAUCCCCCGUGUAAGGAUUUUUUGCUUGUCUGUGCCGAGGUCCAAACUCAUUAUAUUUGUAGGUCAG
ensembl:lncRNA